UAGCAGUCGAGCGGACAGAUGGGAGCUUGCUCCCUGAUGUUAGCGGCGGACGGGUGAGUAACACGUGGGUAACCUGCCUGUAAGACUGGGAUAACUCCGGGAAACCGGGGCUAAUACCGGAUGGUUGUUUGAACCGCAUGGUUCAGACAUAAAAGGUGGCUUCGGCUACCACUUACAGAUGGACCCGCGGCGCAUUAGCUAGUUGGUGAGGUAACGGCUCACCAAGGCGACGAUGCGUAGCCGACCUGAGAGGGUGAUCGGCCACACUGGGACUGAGACACGGCCCAGACUCCUACGGGAGGCAGCAGUAGGGAAUCUUCCGCAAUGGACGAAAGUCUGACGGAGCAACGCCGCGUGAGUGAUGAAGGUUUUCGGAUCGUAAAGCUCUGUUGUUAGGGAAGAACAAGUGCCGUUCAAAUAGGGCGGCACCUUGACGGUACCUAACCAGAAAGCCACGGCUAACUACGUGCCAGCAGCCGCGGUAAUACGUAGGUGGCAAGCGUUGUCCGGAAUUAUUGGGCGUAAAGGGCUCGCAGGCGGUUUCUUAAGUCUGAUGUGAAAGCCCCCGGCUCAACCGGGGAGGGUCAUUGGAAACUGGGGAACUUGAGUGCAGAAGAGGAGAGUGGAAUUCCACGUGUAGCGGUGAAAUGCGUAGAGAUGUGGAGGAACACCAGUGGCGAAGGCGACUCUCUGGUCUGUAACUGACGCUGAGGAGCGAAAGCGUGGGGAGCGAACAGGAUUAGAUACCCUGGUAGUCCACGCCGUAAACGAUGAGUGCUAAGUGUUAGGGGGUUUCCGCCCCUUAGUGCUGCAGCUAACGCAUUAAGCACUCCGCCUGGGGAGUACGGUCGCAAGACUGAAACUCAAAGGAAUUGACGGGGCCCGCACAAGCGGUGGAGCAUGUGGUUUAAUU
rnacentral:rRNA from 1 species